UGGAACAUCCCCGCCAUUUUCCUUCCUACAUCGAGAAAGAGAAGAUCACCAACAUGUCUCUCCGCGCCGCCCUUUCACGCCUCCCCCACGCCGCCAACACCUCCCUUGUGCCGGUGAGGGCGAGCCAUGUCGUCUCCGCCCCUCCCAGGAACAAAGUCUCCUUCCUGGAGAAGUUAUGUCACGGUGUGGUAAUUGUGACGGGCUGUUCCUUCGUGCCAGCCUGGGUUCUUGUCCACAUUAAGGAGUACCGCGGCCGCCCAGAGUAACAACACCAACAGCACCACCACCACCACAGGCUUAAAAAGCACACAUGCAUAGUCUUAAUUGUGUGUGAUGGGGAAACAUGCACACACACACACAUAUGUACGCGUUUUAAUGUACAUACGUGUCACUCAUGUAUGUGUUGAAUUGUGUAUGUGGUGAAGAAGGUCCACACACACACACACACACACACACACACACACACACACACACACACACACACACA